UACAGACGGUCCAAACGUUAUUCGGAAUCACUGGGCUUAAAGAGUUCGUAGGCGGUCAGGAAAGUGGGGUGUGAAAGCCCUCGGCUUAACCGAGGAAUUGCGCUCCAAACUCCCUGACUUGAGGAGGCUAGAGGUAAGCGGAACUGAUGGUGGAGCGGUGGAAUGCGCAGAUAUCAGGAGGAACACCAAUAGCGAAGGCAGCUCGCUGGGACGUUACUGACACUGAGGCGCGAAAGCGUGGGGAGCGAACAGG
rnacentral:rRNA from 1 species